rnacentral:rRNA from 1 species
GACCUCGGAUCAGGUAGGGAUACCCGCUGAACUUAAGCAUAUCAAUAAGCGGAGGAAAAGAAACCAACAGGGAUUGCCUCAGUAACGGCGAGCGAAGCGGCAACAGCUCAAAUUUGAAAUCUGGCUCUUUCAGGGUCCGAGUUGUAAUUUGUAGAGGAUGCUUCGGGUGUGGCUCCGGUCUAAGUUCCUUGGAACAGGACGUCAUAGAGGGUGAGAAUCCCGUAUGUGACUGGUUGCCUAUGCUCAUGUGAAGCUCCUUCGACGAGUCGAGUUGUUUGGGAAUGCAGCUCAAAAUGGGUGGUAAAUUUCAUCUAAAGCUAAAUAUUGGCCAGAGACCGAUAGCGCACAAGUAGAGUGAUCGAAAGAUGAAAAGCACUUUGGAAAGAGAGUUAAACAGUACGUGAAAUGGUUGAAAGGGAAGCGC